GCACAACUUUAGUCCUAUCUUUCCCAAUCCCAGGCAUGUUAACAAUCCUUGAAAAAUCAUGCUACAUUACUUUGGAGGAAAAUACUUCCAGAUGAACAUGUUUCAAGACAUACUAGAAAAUUAUUCCUAUCAAAACAUCCUUUUUCUGUGUCAGCUACCUCAUUUCUAAUGCAGUGCACAUCAAUCUAAUGUCAGUAUGAAUACACAUCAACCAGGUGCUGGCUUUCUAAAGUGAUUCCUUUGCAGAGAUGAGGAGCAGGUAUGACUGCUUCACAGACACCUCCCAAAGACAUGCCAUGGGCAGUGGGUUGGUGCAUGGGAAACUGGAUCCGAUCUGUCUCAUACCAAGCUAAGGAAACAAGGAUAACAAGGAGUUUUCCUGUACCUUGAUUUUUUCAAUAUGUGGGUUUAGAGUUGGAUGAAAGCCAGCUUUUAAGUGAACCUGGUAAGAUUUGUAAUGACAAUAUUUAAAAUGAAAGAAGGAAAGAAUAAGCUUGCCUGAAACAGAAUACACUAUCAUGGGCAGGAGAGUUAUAGCACUAAGGUGUGACUCUUUCACCCAGAAAAUGCAUUCCUACUUUUCGCCCCAUUCCAGAAAUGACCUGCUGCCUCGCUGCAGGGAGAACAGUCAGCAA
rnacentral:lncRNA from 1 species